UGUCCAGACUCCUACGGGAGGCAGCAGUGGGGAAUAUUGGGCAAUGGGCGCAAGCCUGACCCAGCAACGCCGCGUGAAGGAAGAAGGCUUUCGGGUUGUAAACUUCUUUUCUGAGGGACGAAGAAAGUGACGGUACCUCAGGAAUAAGCCACGGCUAACUACGUGCCAGCAGCCGCGGUAAUACGUAGGUGGCAAGCGUUAUCCGGAUUUAUUGGGUGUAAAGGGCGCGUAGGCGGGAAAGCAAGUCAGAUGUGAAAACUCAGGGCUCAACCCUGAGCCUGCAUUUGAAACUGUUUUUCUUGAGUGCUGGAGAGGCAAUCGGAAUUCCGUGUGUAGCGGUGAAAUGCGUAGAUAUCACGAAGAACCCCGAUUGCGAAGGCAGCAUACCGGCUCCACACUGACGCUGAGGCACGAAAGCGUGGGUAUCGAACAGGAUUAGAUACCCUGGUAA
rnacentral:rRNA from 1 species